rnacentral:rRNA from 1 species
CCUACGGGAGGCAGCAGUGAGGAAUAUUGGUCAAUGGGCGCGAGCCUGAACCAGCCAAGUCGCGUGAGGGAUGAAGGUUCUAUGGAUCGUAAACCUCUUUUAUAAGGGAAUAAAGUGUGGGACGUGUCCUAUUUUGUAUGUACCUUAUGAAUAAGGAUCGGCUAACUCCGUGCCAGCAGCCGCGGUAAUACGGAGGAUCCGAGCGUUAUCCGGAUUUAUUGGGUGUAACGGGUGCGUAGGCGGCCUUUUAAGUCAGCGGUGAAAGUCUGUGGCCCAACCAUAGAAUUGCCGUUGAAACUGGGGGGCGUGAGUAUGUGUGAGGCAGGCGGAAUGCGUGGGGUAGCGGUGAAAUGCUUAGAUAUCACGAAGAACAACGAUGGCGAAGGCAGCCUAC